rnacentral:rRNA from 1 species
UACGUAGGUGGCAAGCGUUGUCCGGAAUCAUUGGGCGUAAAGAGCGCGUAGGUGGCUUGUCAGGUCCGAUGUGAAAACCUGGGGCUCAACUCCAGGCCUGCAUCGGAAACCGGCUUGCUAGAGUCUGGGAGAGGAGAGUGGAAUUCCUGGUGUAGCGGUGGAAUGCGCAGAUAUCAGGAGGAACACCGAUGGCGAAGGCAGGUCUCUGGGCAGUAACUGACGCUGAGGAGCGAAAGCAUGGGUAGCGAACA